UACGUAGGAGGCAAGUGUUAUCCGGAAUCACUGGGCGUAAAGUGGAAGUAGGCGGCUCACUAAGUCCGGGGUGAAAUCUCCUGGCUCAACUGGGAGGGUGCUUUGGAUACUGGUGGGCUUGAGGGCAGCAGAGGGAAGCGGAAUUCCCGGUGUAGUGGUGAAAUGCGUAGAUAUCGGGAGGAACACCCGUGGCGAAGGCGGCUUCCUGGGCUGUACCUAACGCUGAGGUCCGAAAGCGUGGGGAGCGAACCGG
rnacentral:rRNA from 1 species